CAGCAGCCGCGGUAACACGUAGGGCGCAAGCGUUGUCCGGAAUUAUUGGGCGUAAAGAGCUCGUAGGCGGUCUGUCGCGUCUGGUGUGAAAUCCCGAGGCUCAACCUCGGGCUUGCAUCGGGUACGGGCAGACUAGAGUGCGGUAGGGGAGACUGGAAUUCCUGGUGUAGCGGUGGAAUGCGCAGAUAUCAGGAGGAACACCGAUGGCGAAGGCAGGUCUCUGGGCCGCAACUGACGCUGAGGAGCGAAAGCAUGGGGAGCGAACAGGAUUAGAUACCCCCGUAGUCCCUGUCUCUUAUAA
rnacentral:rRNA from 1 species